CCUACGGGGGGCAGCAGUGGGGAAUAUUGGACAAUGGGCGAAAGCCUGAUCCAGCCAUGCCGCGUGUGUGAAGAAGGCCUUCGGGUUGUAAAGCACUUUCAGUGGGGAAGAAAGCCUUGGGGCUAAUACCCUCGAGGAAGGACAUCACCCACAGAAGAAGCACCGGCUAACUCCGUGCCAGCAGCCGCGGUAAUACGGAGGGUGCGAGCGUUAAUCGGAAUUACUGGGCGUAAAGCGCGCGUAGGCGGUCUGAUAAGCCGGUUGUGAAAGCCCCGGGCUCAACCUGGGAACGGCAUCCGGAACUGUCAGGCUAGAGUGCAGGAGAGGAAGGUAGAAUUCCCGGUGUAGCGGUGAAAUGCGUAGAGAUCGGGAGGAAUACCAGUGGCGAAGGCGGCCUUCUGGACUGACACUGACGCUGAGGUGCGAAAGCGUGGGUAGCAAACAGGAUUAGAUCCCCGGGUAGUC
rnacentral:rRNA from 1 species